UCCUCCUUACAGAGGCAGUUUGUUCCGAGUCCCCGCCAUCACGCGCUGGCAACAUAGAACGAGGGUUGCGCUCGUUGCGGGACUUAACCCAACAUCUCACGACACGAGCUGACGACAACCAUGCACCACCUGUAUACCGCCCUUGCGGACCCCGUAUCUCUACGAGUUUUCGGUAUAUGUCAAGCCUUGGUAAGGUUCUUCGCGUUGCGUCGAAUUAAGCCACAUGCUCCGCCGCUUGUGCGGGCCCCCGUCAAUUCCUUUGAGUUUUAGCCUUGCGGCCGUACUCCCCAGGCGGGGCGCUUAAUGCGUUAGCUUCGGCACGGAGAGGGUUGAAGACCUCCCCACACCUAGCACCCAACGUUUACGGCUGGGACUAC
rnacentral:misc_RNA from 1 species